CACUGCCUGGCUGCAGGGCUGCUGGUAUCAACUGGAGCUAUCUCUGUAUCUCAGGUUGAAGAAAAAAAAAGAAACCAGUUUCUCAGUCUACUGAACAUUCUCUCCAGUGGAGUACUCUGGGAGACUUGAAAUUCAGCCUUAUAGUGGAUGGUGUGGAAAUCGAUCCUGUGAGCUGCUUCACUCUGCAUUAGGGUAUAAUAAUCAUGACCAUACUGGAAGACAUCCUUACAGAGCUGGUGGAGAUGGAAUGUGACAACUACUUGUAAAAAGCAAAA